AAUCUGCAGGACAGUAGCUCUACAGGAGCAGGGUUGGAGACCCCUGCCCUAAACCAUACCCAACCCUCUAGUGUUCAUUUAUUUUGGAAACUGCAGUGAUAUGUGCUUAUUGGUACGUUUUUGGCGUCUCGCUAAAAAGUGCACCUAGGUACAUUUAUGCCAUGAGACCAGCUCCUCUGAAGAGUUCUGGAGCAGAUGUUCCUCUCCAUGUCAGUUUGAAGGUUGUUGGGGAAAGCUAAUUUUACCACAGGGAGCAAACUGACAUAAUUUGCCAGAUGUCCUGCUAUUAAAAGUUUGGAUGCAAGAACUAGCUGUUUGUGAAGCAGAGGGAGAAACCGGUUGCCUCUUAGAACCCCAAGACCAUUUCACAUCUGGCUUUAUGUGCUAUAGGAUAUUUUCUGCUGUUAUGCACAACAGAAUAAAUACAAGGCGUAAUUUACUUUAAGAGCGUUUUUCUGGGUUC